GUAGGGAAUAUUGGGCAAUGGUCGGAAGACUGACCCAGCCAUGCCGCGUGCAGGAAGACGGCCCUCUGGGUUGUAAACUGCUUUUAUCUGGGAAGAAAAAGGCCAUGCGUGGCAAAUUGCCGGUACCAGAUGAAUAAGCACCGGCUAACUCCGUGCCAGCAGCCGCGGUAAUACGGAGGGUGCGAGCGUUGUCCGGAUUUAUUGGGUUUAAAGGGUGCGUAGGCGGCUGAGUAAGUCAGCGGUGAAAGACUUCGGCUUAACCGGAGCAGUGCCGUUGAUACUGGUUGGCUUGAGUGUAGGAGGGGUACAUGGAAUUGAUGGUGUAGCGGUGAAAUGCAUAGAUACCAUCAGGAACACCGAUAGCGAAGGCAUUGUACUGGCCGACAACUGACGCUGAUGCACGAAAGUGUGGGGAUCGAACAGGAUUAGAAACCCGAGUAGUCC
rnacentral:rRNA from 1 species